rnacentral:rRNA from 1 species
CUGCCUUACCAUGCAAGUCGAACGAUGAUGCCCAGCUUGCUGGGCGGAUUAGUGGCGAACGGGUGAGUAAUACGUGAGUAACCUGCCCUUGACUCUGGGAUAAGCCUGGGAAACUGGGUCUAAUACUGGAUACUACCGUCCACCGCAUGGUGGGUGGUGGAAAGGGUUUUACUGGUUUUGGAUGGGCUCACGGCCUAUCAGCUUGUUGGUGGGGUAAUGGCUCACCAAGGCGACGACGGGUAGCCGGCCUGAGAGGGUGACCGGCCACACUGGGACUGAGACACGGCCCAGACUCCUACGGGAGGCAGCAGUGGGGAAUAUUGCACAAUGGGCGGAAGCCUGAUGCAGCGACGCCGCGUGAGGGAUGACGGCCUUCGGGUUGUAAACCUCUUUCAGUAGGGAAGAAGCGAGAGUGACGGUACCUGCAGAAGAAGCGCCGGCUAACUACGUGCCAGCAGCCGCGGUAAUACGUAGGGCGCAAGCGUUGUCCGGAAUUAUUGGGCGUAAGAGCUCGUAGGCGGUUUGUCGCGUCUGCUGUGAAAGCCCGGGGCUCAACCCCGGGUCUGCAGUGGGUACGGGCAGACUAGAGUGCAGUAGGGGAGACUGGAAUUCCUGGUGUAGCGGUGAAAUGCGCAGAUAUCAGGAGGAACACCGAUGGCGAAGGCAGGUCUCUGGGCUGUUACUGACGCUGAGGAGCGAAAGCAUGGGGAGCGAACAGGAUUAGAUACCCUGGUAGUCCAUGCCGUAAACGUUGGGCACUAGGUGUGGGGGACAUUCCACGUUUUCCGCGCCGUAGCUAACGCAUUAAGUGCCCCGCCUGGGGAGUACGG